ensembl:lncRNA
CGUCAGUCAGAAUUCUGUUUAAAAAUAAAUCACUAAAGACUUUGUUUUCUCAAUCCAGCACAGUUGCUAUGGCAAUAAUCAGAAGCAGAGCACUUGUGGUGAAAGGCAGAAUGUUUUGAUUGUCAUGUGAAGAUUCACACCUUCAGAAUUCAAUUCUUUUACUAGCUGCUGCUGUUCCUCCUGCUGGCUCAACAGACUGCAGAGAGUCUUUAUUAGCUCUGACAAGCAGCACCAAGACAAUGAUUGUCCAGCUUGCUCUGAGGGCCACUGAGCACUGAGGAAUUAACAAGGCAUUCACUCCCUGCACAAACACCCCAAAGAUGACACCACAGGUGUUUAAUCUACAAAGAAACUUCCUUUUCAUAGGCUGCUCAUGGAAAGAAACUGAAGUAAGGGAAGUAAGGUCUCAGACCAGAGUGAGAGUUUCUUUGGAAGCGCUUGGAUCAAUACCUCAGCUUGCCCUUCAAACUGAAGCACCACGCUGUGGAAACUGCAUAUCUAAACAGUUAUGCACAUACACAUACUUAUUUUUUAAACAUAAAGGAAAGGUUUCAAAAUAUAUCACCAACAGAGGAAGCAGCCUGAAGGUCCUCGCAGGGGUCAACUGAUUAGAAGAAUAUCACAGCACUGCAACAGCAAAUUUCUCUCUGAAUCAUCAACAAACUCUGGUGCAUGUGGCUCUUGUAGAAUCUUGGUUUUCACCCCUGUCCCAUAUGACUCAAAGCCACAAAAGCCAGAGAUACAUCUGACCAUCCAAAAAACUUCUCCACACUACGUGUUUGAAUAGGCAAAGCUGACAACUUGAGAAAAAAAUUAUUAACUGUAGGAAUAUAAUUAUGGGUUACAAAAGUAUCCUUUCCAUCCUCAAAAAGCUUAGUGCAGUUCUGGAUUCAAACCAGCACAGGAAGGAGGUAAUUUCCUAAUCAAACUUCUAAGGUUAUCUUAUCAAACCUACUCGAUGUCCUCUACUUGGAAAACUGGCUCCAGUGUCUCCUUGAAAAAGAGUGACUGAAAUACAGCCAUUCAGCAGGACUGAAAUUACCUACUUUCAGCUAAUAAGUACUCAUGCGAAAACAUGGAUAUUUCACCAAAGAAUCCCAAAGAGAAUCCCAGACAGACAUUCUGCUGUUUCUACCAACAAACAUUUUGGCAUUCAUCCUGAGGACAAGAGCUCACAUUUUCAUCAGUGAAACACAGUCAAUUCACUGCAGCCAAGUGUAAACAAAUCAGUUUUAAAAAAAUUAAGGCGACAUUAGGAAAUGUUCCUUUUAAUUUUUUUCCUUUUUUAUUUUUUUUUAAUAAGUCAACCUUUGAAAAUGCCAUAUUACAGCUGCAGAAAAUGUGACUUUGCCUGACUUUUUUGUUGGGUCAGCCAAAAUUGAAGAAAAACAUGAAAUCUCUCUGUAACCAAGGAUAUACUGCUACUUUAAUAGGCACUGCUCCCAAAGGAAGAGAAAAUCCAAUUACUAAAAUGGUAGCAUAAUCUUCUCAUUAUUAUUUCAGGAGCUCAGAGUUAAUUGGACAAGUUUAGCACCCUGUGAAUGAAUGUGUGUCCUCAUUUCACAAUAAAUAGUCUGUAAUUACUUCCCA